GUGAGUGUUUCUCGUUCYUCACUGGAUGAUGUGCCGUGCAUUUGAGAUUCCAAAUUAUUCUUUUAUGGUUUUCAUUGAUCUGAGUACAUAAYGGUUUUUUUUUAUAUGUAUCAUUAUAUUUUUACCGCCUUUUCAUCCCUGACUGUUGAAACUUCAUAUUGGACUUCAAGCAUCAUGGAUUACAAGCCUUCCCACUCUUCUUCCAGACUUGAGGAACUUAAAAUGAAAUACAAACUGAGGACUUUGGACCACUGAGCAACAGUCCAAUUUUCCUUCACUUUGGCCSUGAUGAUUUUAUGCCGUUAUGUUCUGCCGGUGGGAGGGUUUCUGUGGAGCAAUUCUUCUCAAAGGAUUCCCGCUCGUCCACAUGAUGUGUUUCAACAUAGUGUUUGAGAUGGGAAUUGUCCUGCGACGUGAUGUACGGCGGUCAUAAGAGCAGCUGGUGAAGCCUCACUAUGUGUGAGUACGUACAACAGGGCACCCGAAACUGCUGGCCCUCAUCCCUCUAAAUCCGGCCCUGGUCAAUGGUGGCACCGGGAUACCAAACUGAGUUCCCACACUCACCCUAGAUGCCCCUAAUGACAAACCAGCACAGUACACACUGAAAGUCUAAAACGGGUCACGCAAUCUGGAUUCACUGGAUGGUUUUUAUUUAUACUUGCUGAAUCUCCAUAGAGACCAGAGUUGAAUCCGUUAUCAACCUGACUUCAUUUUGACCACAUUCAUUAGAUAAAGAAACAUCUCCCGUUCAUCCCAUUAAAUUUGAUGACAGCGCUUCCAGGAGGAACAUAUGCUUUACUUCAGAGGAUACUCACCUCUUAUUUAAGUCAUUAAAUUUUCCUAGGGGUGAUUAAUUACUACCUCAAGGUUAAACUGCCUUCAGGGAGAACAACUUUAACUGUGUGACUACCACUGUGUAUUUGAAUUAAAGGUCUUUGAUGAAGUUAUCAGGAAAAACUUGAAGGUCA